CCGUUACUUUUUCCGGAGGACCCGCCCGACAACCCCCGGAUCACCUCUACGAGAAUAGGGGGCUGGGGAUCCUAGCGGCGUGGGCGGUGUGGUGGUGGUGGUGGUGGCGGCGUGGUCGGUAAGUGCGGCGCUCUCUGCGCUCGCCCCGAGGAGGAGGUCGGGCUACCGCAGACUCCGGUCCAGGCCCCCGCACGCCGCCUAAGGCGACGUCGGCUCCCUGCCGAUGCGGCGCCGGAGGGACAGGAACCCACCGUGGCGGGAACGGUUUAGCUUCCGCUUCCGUGGCCGCCGACGGCGCAGCGGCGGCAGCCACUCCAGCAUACGACGGUCCCGACUGCGCCACUCGUCCCGCGCCGCCACCACUCCCUCUUCCUCCACAGCGACCGUCUCCUCGAUCUCUUCCACGCCCUCGCCGCCCCUGCCCAGCACCACCUCGACUACGCGGAGUAGCUCUACGGCAUCCAUACCAACAACAGGUGACUCUUGGCGGUGCAGAAGGGAGACAAAGCUAAGGCAAACCAUCAACAAGACCGCGAGCCAAGACUUACAGUUACCACUAAAUCAAGAUCCAGAAAAGGGGUUUAGGAUUAAGGGCAAGAGCCGACGAUAGGACGAUAAGGCUGCUCACAAGACUGAAGAGACUACUACACGUCUAAAACUAACGGAACACUUGAACUAAGUCUAAUAGUCUACAAUUCAGUCAGUUGGUACACAAACGCACGGUACAUUUAAAGGUAGCGGUACCCCAAUUGGACAAAGAUGUUUAAUUUCAUUGAACUAAUUCCACAAUUUAGACAGUUCGCCAGUCAGUGUCAUGACUCGUCAGUUGGUACAGGACUAAAUCUCUUCAUUGUAAAAAAAACUUUAUCUUCUUGUACGUCAGGAAAAUGUUUACUUUCUCUCCGUUUCUUUCACAACUUGUUCUUGUUGAUAGUCGUGUUGUACAACAGAUACAAGACCACCUUAGCAACUAAAGAUUCCUCCUCUCCUUCUCUUAUGUCCCCUGACGCAGGAGUCUAAGAGUCCCAGGCCAGUAUCACCGAAGUUCGAAAUAAAAAUUGGAAGAACAUCAUUACCUAUUAAUGUUCUUGUAAGGAGUUAAGGAGAUACCGAAUUCGGGUAGAGUCUACCUUUACAGAUUUUGACUGCUGUUGGGAAUAUUAGCCGUCAGUUCCUUUCAAUGUCUCUUUAGAACCUAAGUAUUUACCCUCUUCGUGUAUUCCCUCUUCUUCUACUAACGUUCCUACCUCUCCCUCAUUUAGUAAACCUCCCUAUCUUACGGUGACAAACCACAAAAAUACGUAAAAACAAACGAAAGUUGACACAAACGUGAUCGACCCUUAUUCACUGAUCCGUUAUUCACAUCUACAUACCUAUACGAGAUUACGAGGACCAAAUGAUAUUUAGAAGCUAAACCUUACUACACAUUACCACACAUUACGACGACCAAAAGAUUGCCAACCCGUACUACCUACAACGUCCAAGUAACUACUGCCGGUUCCCAAGUACGAGCCUUUCCUGCUGUAGAACGAGGUACAACAGCCGAGUCGAUUUCAGGAAUUAGUACUCCUCUACCCUGUGCAGCUAACAAUCUCAUGUGAACUGUCUCCACUAGCUGCGACUGAUCGUGCCGGGCCACCGCGACACGAGAAGUUGGUGAGCCUCUGCCUGAAGCGGCACUUCGGAACAAGGGUGCAGCGUGUCUACUAGCAGGUCCACUAAAGCUGUGGCCUCCAGCGACUCCACCUCCUGGAACUGCGGUGGCAGGCCCCCUCCCUCCUAAGCUCAGGUGGUUGCAGACUUGAGGCUCGGAUCCAUCUAUGUAGAUCUCUUCACCAGACAAAUCCAACCACCAUCUGGUGAUCCCUUCCAUGGGUGGAAUGCUACUACCAACACACACAGACUACAAUUUACCUUAGAACUCUACCAAAACACUGUACAAUUUACCUUAUAACUCUACCAAGUCACUGUAAGCAAACAAAACGUAACCUGCAUAAUGAUAAGUACUU
rnacentral:rRNA from 1 species